GGUGCAGAGCGUGUGGCCGCAGCGGGCACGCGCCGUCCCGGGCAGGCGGCGGGGCGCUCGGGCCCCGAGGUUGAAGGGUUGGUAGCAGAUGUUGCAGUCCAGCUCGCCCCGCUCCGGAAGAGAGGGCACCCUCACCAGGAACUGCAUCGCGCCCGCCGCGGGCUCGAGGGCGUCGCUAAUGCGGCCGGCUUCGUGGUAGAACGAGCGGACCCUUCUGUGGCCCGCGUCUGGUCCUGGGGCGGGCGCCGCGGCCUCUUGCCUCUUUUAAUAGUGAGGUGCCGCCCUUCGUGGCGUCACGCUGUGGUCGGGCCGCUCCCUGCCGUGGCACGCGUGGGGGCGGUGGAGGUGCGAGGCCGGGAAUGACAGCUAUGGCGGCGCGGGGGAGGCGGCCCCGUGAUGCUAGGACUGGAGCUCUGCUGGUCACGCCUUCCUUCACCCCCCAGCACAGUGCCCAGCGCUCCUUAAUUCUACCAUGUGCGAACCCCCAGGUUCCUUCUUGCACAUCAGCCUGCAGCCACUAGCACAACAGGUCUCUAAAGCUCCUUGGUCUGUUUGUUAGUUGCUUGUACUCUUUCACAGCCGCCCCCCGCCCCAAACAGACGUCCUGAGCCAGGUACGCCGCCCAUUCUUCCCAACCAUUAGUGGUCUCCUGGGCCUUUUGAGUCGAUGCUGCCUUGGCAGUAACUCAUUCUGCCCACAAUUUUCCUUAUCCUACGACUUCUGUGUGUUCUUGUAAGGCUAGCUUCCCAAAUUUCAUUCUCCACCAACUGCUUAACUACCAGCUGACAGCUCGGCCUAACCAGGAACCUAGAUUCCAGGACCACUGUCUUAGGAAUGCCGAGAAUCCUUUCCUUCUGGAGUAUCCAGGCCUGGACACCCACACAUCAUGAUGGCUUCAGCAAAGCAGUCCAGCAUGAGUUCUGACUCAGGAGUCUGACUUCUACAGCUUCUUUGGAACUUCUCUUUGGAAUGGUGUUCCUCAGACCUUUUGAUAUCUUCAAUUGGUGGUAAAUCUUAAUCUUUUAAGGUAGAUUUGAUUAUAUAAAUGUUCCCAAAGUGUUUGACAGCCAAGGCCCCCCUAAGCUCCAGAUCUGUAUAUCAGUUGCCUGCUCUACAGCUCUUAUUUAUUUUCAAGAACCGAAACUAAUGAUCUCCCUGUCCAUACCAGCAUUUCUUCCCAUAUCCUACCCCUUCCUUUGCUCAAUGCCAAGAGAUUUAGGUAUUAUCUUCGACCUUUUCCUUGCCCUCACUUUCCUUUACCGGCCCAUCACUAAGCCUAGUUUAUUUUGCCUCUUAAAUAUCUCUCUAAUGCACUUACUUCUCUCCAUCGCCAGCAUACCACCCUAGUCCAAGCUGCUGCUAUUUCUUGCUUAGACCCCAGCAGGAGCCUCAGACCUAACCAGUCUCCACAGGUACUCUGGUUUCCUUCCAUAUCGUUUACAGUGUUCUUUCCAAAUCUCAAACCAAAUCCUGUCCUAUCACACACUCCUUUCACUCAUGUUUAAAACCUUUUAAUGUAAGCUGACAACUUGUUUCUGAAAAAAAAAAAUUUUAAAAAAAAAUAAAACCUUUUAACAGUGUGGUAGUUUGAUGGCCCUAAAUUCCUUUGCAACAUAACUUUGCUGCUUCUCCCAUCAAGAAUUAUGGUCUCUUUCCCUAUCCCUUGAAUCCAGGCUGGCCUCAUAACUAACUUUGACAGUAGAUGGGAAGAGUUGUGAAUUCAGAGCCUCGUCCUUCAGAGGGCUUGCACCUUCUGCCUUUGUUCCUUUGGAACCCUCGGGGUUGCUAAACUCUAGAGACUUAGACCACCAGACGAUGAGACCACAUAGAGAAGAGAAGAGCCCUAGCCAAUAGCCAGCUCUAACUACCAAACAUGUUGGUGAGGCCAUCUUGGAUUUUCCUGCUCAGCCAAGUGCUGUCGAAUGAGUGAGCCCAGGUGAAAACAGCAGAGGAAUUCCCAGCCAACCCACAGAAUCAUGAAAAAAAUAAUAAUAAAGUUUUUAAAAGUUGUUUCAAACAACUAAGUUUGAGGGUGAUUUGUUAUAUAUCAAUAGAUAACUGAUAUAGAGGGUUUCCUACUAUCCUUAGGAUAAAGAUAAUAUUCUAAGGUGCCUUGUAAGGUCCUGUGUAUUCUGAACUCUUCCAUGCCCAUAUUCUGCUUCCAUUUCUCUUUAGACAACCUGGCUUUGGGGACCUUUGGCUUGCAUGUUCCUUUCUGCCACAGGGCCUUUACAUAUGCUCUUCUCCUAACCCUCUUGCUUUCACCUUAUUAACACCUACUUAUCCCAGCUCUCAGUGCAGCUUCAUCGUGUCAAAGACCCAUUGUAGACUCUGGUAACCCAUGUGCUUUCCUUUGGACUUUGGACAGCUGAAGUUUGUAUUUGGUAGUUAUGUGAUUGUCUCUCCCAUCAGCAAGCUGCAUGUAGAUUGUUCUGAGUCUGGUUUAGUUCACCACUAUAUUCCAUACCAUUCCUUAGUAGCCUCAAUAAAUAAAUAAUGAGGAAGGUGACAAAUAUGGCAAAUGUUUAUAUACAAAGGAGGUAUGGCAAUGAAGGUUUUUCACAAGGGCUUUCUAAACUGUCUCUGAAGAUUAAUUUUAAGAAGAACUUUUGUUAUAAAACGUUUUAAGCAAUG